rnacentral:rRNA from 1 species
UAGGGAAUCUUCGGCAAUGGGGGGAACCCUGACCGAGCAACGCCGCGUGAGUGAAGAAGGUUUUCGGAUCGUAAAGCUCUGUUGUUAAGGAAGAACGAGUGUGAGAAUGGAAAGUUCAUACUGUGACGGUACUUAACCAGAAAGGGACGGCUAACUACGUGCCAGCAGCCGCGGUAAUACGUAGGGGGCUAGCGUUGUCCGGAAUCACUGGGCGUAAAGGGUUCGCAGGCGGAAUAACAAGUCAGAUGUGAAAGGCAUGGGCUCAACCCAUGUAAGCAUUUGAAACUGUAAUUCUUGAGAAGUGGAGAGGUAAGUGGAAUUCCUAGUGUAGCGGUGAAAUGCGUAGAUAUUAGGAGGAAUACCUGUGGCGAAGGCGACUUACUGGACACAAAUCUGACGCUGAGGAACGAAAGCGUGGGUAGCAAACAG